rnacentral:lncRNA from 1 species
GGAGUUUGUACUUAUGUACUCAAUGCACAAUUGUCCAUUUUGUACUCUUUCUUUAACAACCCGAAAUUUGACGUCCUUAUAUUUUGCUUUCGUCAAAUUGCUGUUGUUGUUAUUAGACUAAGUGGCAAAAUCGGAGUCGGUAUACCCGAUGAUCUCAAACUGGUCCGAACUCCGAUAUGUAAGCAUGUUAUCCUUUGUUCU